GACGAGGGGUCCUAGCGUUGUUCGGAAUUACUGGGCGUAAAGCGCAUGUAGGUGGCUUGAUAAGUCAGGUGUGAAAGCCUUGGGCUUAACCUGAGAAGUGCAUUUGAUACUGUCAAGCUUGAGUAUGGGAGAGGGUAGUAGAAUUCCUGGUGUAGUGGUGAAAUACGUAGAUAUCAGGAGGAAUACCGGUGGCGAAGGCGGCUACCUGGCCCAAUACCGACACUGAGAUGCGAAAGCGUGGGGAUCAAACAGG
rnacentral:rRNA from 1 species